rnacentral:rRNA from 1 species
AGUGAACGCUGGCGGUAGGCCUAACACAUGCAAGUCGAACGGCAGCACAGUAAGAUCUUUCUCUUACGGUUGGCGACUGGCGGACGGGUGACGCAUACAUCGGCAUCUUCUUUUUCUUGGGUGAUUUCGUAGGGAAACUUACGCUAAUACCUCAUACGUCCUACGGCUUAAAUCAGUGGUUCUUCCGACUUUUCGCGUUUCUUUGAGCCGAUUUCGGGUUGCCUUGUUUGCUGGGUAAGGGCCCACCAAGGCGACGAUCCGUAGCUUGUCUGAGAGGAUGGUGAGCAACACUGGAACUGAGACACGGUCCAGACUCCUACGGGAGGCAGAGGUGGGAAAUAUUGGACAAUGGGCGAAAGCCUGAUCAAGAAAUACCGCGUGGGUGAAGAAGGCCUUCGGGUUGUAAAGCCCUUUUGUUGGGAAAGAAAAGCAGCAGGUUAAUACCGCGCUGUUCUGACGGUACCAAAAGAAUAAGCACCGGCUAACUUGGU